rnacentral:rRNA from 1 species
ACGAACGCUGGCGGCGUGCCUAAUACAUGCAAGUCGAACGGUCUUUCUAUGGAAGCUUGCUUCCACUGAGAAGAUAGUGGCGAACGGGUGAGUAACACGUGGGUAACCUGCCCAUAAGAGGGGGAUAACAUCCGGAAACGGGUGCUAAUACCGCAUAGUUUUCUUGAUCGCAUGAUCGGGAAGGAAAGACGGCCUUUGUGCUGUCGCUUAUGGAUGGACCCGCGGCGUAUUAGUUAGUUGGUGAGGUAACGGCUCACCAAGACGAUGAUACGUAGCCGACCUGAGAGGGUGAUCGGCCACAUUGGGACUGAGACACGGCCCAAACUCCUACGGGAGGCAGCAGUAGGGAAUCUUCCGCAAUGGACGAAAGUCUGACGGAGCAACGCCGCGUGAGUGAAGAAGGUUUUCGGAAUCGUAAAACUCUGUUGUCAGAGAAGAACAAGUUGGAGAGUAACUGCUCCAGCCUUGACGGUAUCUGACCAGAAAGCCACGGCUAACUACGUGCCAGCAGCAGC